AGCGCAGAGCCGCGGUGCUGCCAAGAGGGCUCAGUCUCUCUCCAGCUUAGCUUGGCUCAGUUUCUACAAAGUUUAAGGAUUUAAAAUGCCUCCCGAACAAACCGAGGAGCGAAACUUCCGGUCAGCUCGGCUCAGCAGGCUCUGUACUUUCAGUUUGAGCCUUAAACUCGGCUCGGAGAGUUUUAAUGAAAUAUGGUAACUGCUACUGCUACAGCCACAAUAAGAACAGCAACUAUGAUUCCAGCUAUCAGAGCAGCAGGACUUCUAUUUCCACAUUCAGCAUCAGAGGAAAGUGUUCCUGUCUUUAUUUCUAAGGAGAACCCAUUCUCUUCUGGUCAACAUCAAAGCAAAAAUCCUUGCUCUGCAGAGCACCAAUCUGUGCAGUGUUUCUUGGGGGUUAAAUCCUCUGAUGUUAAUAACUGAGCCGAGUAGACAAAAGCUGUGCACCAUUUCCACAUCCUUUCCAUCAGAGGAAAAGUCAGCAGUGUUUACUGUCAUCAUAACUUUAGUCUUCUUCAUUAUUGGAAUUUAUUGACUAAAUAUUAAACUACAUUGGACUACA